rnacentral:rRNA from 1 species
GUGGGGAAUAUUGCGCAAUGGGGGAAACCCUGACGCAGCGACGCCGUGUGAGGGAAGAAGGCUUUCGGGUCGUAAACCUCUGUCAGAAAGGAAGAACCUCCCAAGUCCGAAUAGGGCUUGGGACUGACGGUACUUUCAAAGGAAGCACCGGCUAACUCCGUGCCAGCAGCCGCGGUAAUACGGAGGGUGCAAGCGUUAAUCGGAAUCACUGGGCGUAAAGCGCGCGUAGGCCGCUUUGUAAGUCGGACGUGAAAGCCCUCGGCUCAACCGGGGAACUGCGUUCGAUACUGCGAGGCUUGAGUCCUGGAGAGGGUGGCGGAAUUCCGGGUGUAGGAGUGAAAUCCGUAGAUAUUAGGAGGAACACCGGUGGCGAAGGCGGCUACCUGGACCGAUAUUGACGCUGAGACGCGAAAGCGUGGGGAGCAAACAGGAUUAGAAACCCCUGUAGUCC